rnacentral:rRNA from 1 species
UACGUAGGGUGCGAGCGUUGUCCGGAAUUAUUGGGCGUAAAGAGCUCGUAGGCGGUCUGUUGCGUCCGCUGUGAAAACUCGGGGCUUAACCCCGAGCCUGCAGUGGAUACGGGCAGACUAGAGGUAGGUAGGGGAGAAUGGAAUUCCCGGUGUAGCGGUGAAAUGCGCAGAUAUCGGGAGGAACACCGGUGGCGAAGGCGGUUCUCUGGGCCUUACCUGGCGCUGAGGAGCGAAAGCGUGGGGAGCGAACAGG